UACCCUACGGGGGGCAGCAGUGGGGGAUAUUGCACAAUGGGGGAAACCCUGAUGCAGCGACGCCGCGUGUGGGAAGACGGUCCUCUGGAUUGUAAACCACUGUCCCCAGGGACGAAGAUGACGGUACCUGGGGAGGAAGCUCCGGCUAACUACGUGCCAGCAGCCGCGGUAAUACGUAGGGAGCAAGCGUUAUCCGGAUUUACUGGGUGUAAAGGGCGUGUAGGCGGGCAUGCAAGCCAGAAGUGAAAUCUGGGGGCUUAACCCCCAAACUGCUUUUGGAACUGCGUGUCUUGAGUGAUGGAGAG
rnacentral:rRNA from 1 species